AGGCUCAGAGAAAAUAUG
rnacentral:snRNA from 1 species